rnacentral:tRNA from 2 species
GGACAGGUGCCGGAGUGGUCGAUCGGGCACGCCUGGAAAGCGUGUGUGCCGGAAACGGUACCGAGGGUUCGAAUCCCUCCCUGUCCGCCA